GCGGGUGUAGUUCAAUGGUAGAACUUCAGCUUCCCAAGCUGAUAAUGGGAGUUCGAUUCUCCUCACCCGCU
rnacentral:tRNA from 1 species